rnacentral:rRNA from 1 species
GAUGAACGCUGGCGGCGUGCCUAAUACAUGCAAGUCGAGCGAACGGACGAGAAGCUUGCUCCUCUGAUGUUAGCGGCGGACGGGUGAGUAACACGUGGAUAACCUACCUAUAAGACUGGGAUAACUUCGGGAAACCGGAGCUAAUACCGGAUAAUAUAUUGAACCGCAUGGUUCAAAAGUGAAAGACGGUCUUGCUGUCACUUAUAGAUGGAUCCGCGCUGCAUUAGCUAGUUGGUAAGGUAACGGCUUACCAAGGCAACGAUGCAUAGCCGACCUGAGAGGGUGAUCGGCCACACUGGAACUGAGACACGGUCCAGACUCCUACGGGAGGCAGCAGUGGGGAAUCUUCCGCAAUGGGCGAAAGCCUGACGGAGCAACGCCGCGUGAGUGAUGAAGGUCUUCGGAUCGUAAAACUCUGUUAUUAGGGAAGAACAUAUGUGUAAGUAACUGUGCACAUCUUGACGGUACCUAAUCAGAAAGCCACGGCUAACUACGUG